UACGAAGGGGGGCUAGCGUUGCUCGGAAUUACUGGGCGUAAAGGGCGCGUAGGCGGCACUGUUAGUCAGGCGUGAAAUUCCUGGGCUCAACCUGGGGACUGCGCUUGAUACGGCAGAGCUAGAGGAUGGAAGAGGCUCGCGGAAUUCCCAGUGUAGAGGUGAAAUUCGUAGAUAUUGGGAAGAACACCGGUGGCGAAGGCGGCGAUCUGGGGAAGAUACUGACGCUGAGGUGCGAAAGCGUGGGGAGCAAACAGG
rnacentral:rRNA from 1 species